rnacentral:rRNA from 1 species
CACGUAGGGGACGAGCGUUGUCCGGAAUCAUUGGGCGUAAAGAGCGUGUAGGCGGUCCGGUAAGUCGGCUGUGAAAGUCCAGGGCUCAACCCUGGGAUGCCGGUCGAUACUGCCGGACUAGAGUUCGGAAGAGGCGAGUGGAAUUCCCGGUGUAGCGGUGAAAUGCGCAGAUAUCGGGAGGAACACCUAUGGCGAAGGCAGCUCGCUGGGACGUUACUGACGCUGAGACGCGAAAGCGUGGGGAGCAAACAGG